AGUAAGGUCAGCUAAUCAAGCUACCGGGCCCAUACCCCGGAAAUGUUGGUUUAAAUCCCUCCCGUGCUA
rnacentral:tRNA from 1 species